AAGUAUGUUGAAGAAACAAUCACAAUAUAUCGACUUUUAUGAAGUGAUAAGAAAAACUACUAUAAAGUGAUAAAAACAUUUACUUGGAUUCAUGCAAUUUAGCGAAAAUAUGGUUAAAAUUAUCACCUUUAUUUUUGUUAAGAUUAUCUUUCUUUCUCUAUUUCUUUUUGUAAUGUUUUUUGAUAGGCCAAUAUGGUUUCAUCCAGUUAAAAAAUGUUAUUUACAUUCUGAUUGUCCAGAUGACAUGUGCAAACUUCCUUUAAGACAGUUUUGUAUUGAAAACACAUGUAGGUGUCGAUUCUAUACAUACCAAAUCCAAGAAAUUACGUAAACUCUCCUUUAGUUAUUGUAUAAGCAACCAAUAAAUGUUGUAAUUUUGUGUGUGUUGAAUUUAGCAUAUUUAACUAUGACUUUGUAAACUAAGUUUAGUUUUUCUUGUGAUAUAGACAAAUGUGAGUUUGAUAUACGUUUUCAUUUCAGUACCAAAUUUUUAUAAGAACUACGUGUGAUAUAAAAUAUUAGUCUUUGUUAAAAAAUAAGAAUAAAGAUUAAAUAGACAAAUUCAGAUAACCAACGUAAAUUUAAACUAAUGUUAUUAUAUACAAAAUUUAUUCACCUUUUAAGACGUACAAUUAUAACACUAAGUUACUAGACUAAAAAAAGAAAAGAAAAACUUUAUUUUUGGAUAAAUAAAUAUGAGUGAUAAGUUGUUAGAAAAAAGAAUUAUUAUUUAAGAAAAAAAAAACCUCGGCAUAGAUUAUAAAAUAUAUUAUAAAAUAUUUUCUAUAAUCUAUGACAAAGUUCUUUCUUCUUUUUUUUCUUAACUAGAAAUUUAUAAAAAUCUAAAAUAUGUUGUUUUUCUAGUGAGAAAAGGGGUCUCUUAUAUGAGAGUGAAAAUUAUUGACCAUUAAAUUAAAAGUUAAGGUUGAGAUUAAAUCACUCCACUAAAGUAUUCACGUGACUCUUCUCCUUCCACUUUCUUCUACUUUAUCUCUUGUAUUGUUGUUAAUCAUGGAGGAAUGGGUGAUGUUUCUUAUAUUUCUUUUUUUAUUUCUAUUAUAAAGAACAAUUCACCGCCAUGCAAUGUUCUUUAUACAAACAUUUGAUUUCCAUUAAUAAAAACUUGAUCCUUUCAUACAAACUGUUUGGUAUGUUAGUUAUAUUUUGAGAAUAAAAUAUAUUUCUAAAAAAAUAUGGAAAAAAAACAAGGCUGGAAAUUAAAGUGGCUAAAGAAAAUUUAUAUAAUUAGCACGUUUCAUUAAUAUAAUAAGAAACUUAUUCAUACCAUUGAAUAUGCUAAAUCUAUAUGUAAUAAACAUGAAAUUAUUAAUUUACUUAACAUAAAGUUGUUAAAAA
rnacentral:lncRNA from 1 species